rnacentral:lncRNA from 1 species
GUGUCCUCAUGAAUAUCAGACUGCCAGAUGGAUUGGUGGACAGCCAUAAAAAGUCACACAAAUAUGAAGUUACAGCCUCAUAAAGUAAAGAUACGGGGUAAUAUAAGAAUUAAUAUGACCAAAUUGGCACCUCAGAAACUGUAGCAUAAGAUAUAAAGGUCAGUGGUGUGGUCUUAGGGUUAAAGAGAAGAGCCAGUAAGUGGGAAGAAGGAUCAUUUUCAGGGCCAAAUGAAAUUGAGCAAAGUACAAU